rnacentral:rRNA from 1 species
UCCCGGGUUUUUAUAUUGGUUUCCCCAAAAAAUAAAUUUAAUUUAUAUUAAAAAUUUUUUUAUUUUUUAGGGUUAAAAAGUUGGGGUAGUUUUUAUUUUUAAAAAAAGAAAAAUUUAUAAGGUGGAGUUAGGGUAUAAAUUAAUUAAAAUAAGCUUUAAUAGUAGUUAAUUUUCCCCAGUGUUUUAACGGAAAUGGAUUUUUUGGAUUAUUUUUUUUUUUUUAGAAAAGAAGUAUGGGGGAAUUUUUUUUAAUUCACCCAGUAAAGGUAUUAUAAGAUUAUUAGUAAAUUUUUGUGUUAAUUUGGAUAUUUUUUUUUAGAAAAUAAAAUUUUUAUUAGAAUAAACAAUUUAAUUAAAGAACUCGGCAAAAACUAUUCUCGCCUGUUUAACAAAAACAUGUCCAAAUGAAGAAAUAUUUGGUCUAA